rnacentral:rRNA from 1 species
AACGAACGCUGGCGGCGUGCCUAACACAUGCAAGUCGAGCGCGAAAAGGGCAACCUGAGUAGAGCGGCGCACGGGUGCGUAACACGUGGGUAAUCUGCCUUAGAGUCGAGGAUAACCUUCCGAAAGGUUGGCUAAUACUCGGUAAGCUUACGGUGUCUUCGGACGCUGUGGGAAAAGUAGGCCUCUGUUUACAAGCUUACGCUCUGAGAUGAGCCCGCGGCCCAUCAGCUAGUUGGCGGUCUAACGGACCACCAAGGCAACGACGGGUAGCUGGUCUGAGAGGACGAUAAGCCACACUGGAACUGAGACACGGUCCAGACUCCUACGGGAGGCAGCAGUGGGGAAUUUUCCACAAUGGGCGAAAGCCUGAUGGAGCAACGCCGCGUGUGUGAUGAAGGUUUUCGGAUCGUAAAGCACUUUCGACUGGGACGAAGAACCUUUGGCUAACAUCCAGGGGCCUGACGGUACCAGGAGAAGAAGCACCGGCUAACUCUGUGCCAGCAGCCGCCGCCGUAA